rnacentral:piRNA from 1 species
UACCCGUAUACAUAAAAAAAAGUCUUCAG